rnacentral:rRNA from 1 species
UACGUAGGUGGCAAGCGUUGUCCGGAUUUACUGGGCGUAAAGAGCGCGCAGGCGGUCGGAUCAGUCGAAUGUGAAAGCCCCCGGCUCAACUGGGGAGGGUCAUUCGAUACUGUCCGACUCGAAGGCAGGAGAGGGAAGCGGAAUUCCCGGUGUAGUGGUGAAAUGCGUAGAUAUCGGGAGGAACACCAGUGGCGAAGGCAGAUCUCUGGGCCGUAACUGACGCUGAGGAGCGAAAGCAUGGGGAGCGAACAGG